GAAAACUUUUCCUAAAAGGAGAUUCAAAGCAUGACUUUUUUGUUUGUUGUGUUUUUGUUUUGUGUGUGUAUGUUGUUUGUUGUUGUUGUUUUGUGUGUGUGUUUGUGUGUAUUUAUUUUUUUUUUAUUAUUUGUUUUGCUUUUACCUUGGAAAGAAGGAAAGAGAUAAGAUGGGAAAAACUCUCUGUGAACUAGUGAGGAAAAUCAAAGAAAACAGCAAAAACAGGACAUCUGAGAACUUGGAUUUUUCCUGACUCACAGCAUAAAGAAGGGGAGACUUUCCACAUAGCUAGAAGUUAGAAAACUUUGAAAUAAUGAAACCUAUAUUUUUUCACAUUAGAAAAAAGUUAGAUCAUGGAUCCAUGAACACAUGUAAUUGAUUAGGCCAGGGAUAGCCAGUCUUUCAUUUACAGACCUGUUAUUCAUAAAUGGAAGAAAUAAGAGAAAAAAGUGACAGAUUGUACCCUUGCUAGCUCUUAGAGCCCUCAGAGCCUUUUCUGAAAAAUAUGGGAUUAUAGAAGACUUGGUUCAGACUUUCGGCUCAUGAUUAUUGUCAAAUAAAGUCAGUUUGUACAGUCCCAAGUACAUGGGACAAGGGCUUGCUCUUCUCAGUGUCCACAAGUAUGUCUGUUGUCAGGGGACACCAUGGCAACAAGCAGUGCUGUGACCAUAUGGCAGAGGUCCCAGUGCAGAAGGGUAAAUUAUCUGAUGACAUGGGCUAUCAACAUGAGAAUACAGUUCUUGAAAAUGAUCUCAGAUACUUACCUUCCAGAGAAAACAUUGGACUUCAGUGUGUAUAAAGUAAAAUUUGCAUGUAAUACAUGCAGAAUUUGCAAGAUUAUGCUGUCUACAUGAUAAUCAGUUAAGUCACAUAGUGACACCAUUCUUAUUGAAAAGAAGUAGGAGACAAGUAAGAAAACUAGAAGAAUCAAUAUAAAUUUAUUUAUUUAUUCCAUCACAGCUUCUUAUCUUCUGCAAAGUCCCAGUGUUCUAUGUUCAUGUUCUGUGAUCAUACUCUCUGGAAUCUGAAGUAAAUGCAACUUGAAACUACUUUGUGUACAUUAGUAUCCAACAUUAUGUACAGUAACUGAAGAGCCUACAGUCUGUAGACAUUUAAAAGCAAAACAGUUUGUUCAUGCAGUUUGUUCAGUUUGUUUUUGAACAUUUUGUUCAUCUUUGGACAGGCAGCAAAAAAAAAAAAAUAAAUAUAUAUAUAUAUAUAUAAA
rnacentral:lncRNA from 1 species